AUACGGAGGAUCCGAGCGUUAUCCGGAUUUAUUGGGUUUAAAGGGUGCGCAGGCGGCCAUUUAAGUCAGCGGUUAAAUCGUGGGGCUCAACCCCAUUCUGCCGUUGAUACUGGGUGGCUUGAUUGCGGUCGAGGUUGGCGGAAUUCGUUGUGUAGCGGUGAAAUGCAUAGAUAUGACGAAGAACACUGAUUGCGUAGGCAGCUGACCAGACCGCAAAUGACGCUCAUGCACGAAAGUGCGGGGAUCGAACAGGAUUAGAUACCCUGGUAGUCCGCACAGUAAACGAUGAAUACUUGUUUUCGGCGAUAUAAUGUCGGAGGCAAAGCGAAAGCGAUAAGUAUUCCACCUGGGGAGUACGCCGGCAACGGUGAAACUCAAAUGAAUUGACGGGG
rnacentral:rRNA from 1 species